AUUGAACGCUGUCGUCAGGCCUAACACAUGCAAGUCGAACGAGUGGCGGACGGGUGAGUAAUGUAUUGGAAACUGCCUGAUGGAGGGGGCUAACUACUGGAAACGGUAGCUAAUACCGCAUACCAUCGGAUGUGCCCAGAUGGUAUUAGCUAGUAGGUGGUGUAAAGGCUCACCUAGCCGACGAUCCCUAGCUGGUAUGAGAGGCUGACCAGCCACACUGGAACUGAGACACGGUCCAGACUCCUACGGGAGGCAGCAGUGGGGAAUAUUGCACAAUGGGCGCAAGCCUGAUGCAGCCAUGCCGCGUGUAUGAAGAAGGCCUUCGGGUUGUAAAGUACUGUCAGCGGGGAGGCGUUACCCACAGAAGAAGCAACGGCUAACUCCGUGCCAGCCGCCGCGGUAAUUC
rnacentral:rRNA from 1 species